AAGCUCUAAAUAAUAAACACAAACCUCUCUACCAUCAUCAUACAGAAACUUUAAAAGCUCUAGUUGAUAUCCAACUAUGUCUACGGCCAUAAAGUUCUUCACUCUCUUCUUCUUCUUCUUCCUUUUGGUUGAAUCACCCACCGCAAGAUAUAUCUAUAGGACGCCACAUGACUCAGAGAUUGAUUAUUUCCGUAUGUUUGUACGGGAGAUGGAAUAUUUGCAACGCGAAGCAGACGAGAAGUACCCGCUCUGGAGAUCUACAAAUUACUUGAAUCGGUCUUUGUUUCUUUCAGAGAAAGCUCAGGAUUUUGUUGACCUUUGGGACGAGGAGCGGAAGAGUAAAAUUUUACGAAACCCUUAUAUAUAUCUUGACUUGCGGAACAAGGUUCAAAGUGAAUUGUGGCCUAAACACUAUGAUUACUGUCGUCAGUCCGACGGCACAAAUAUCUUGACGCACUUGAUGUAUGAUUUUUGUCGUAAAUCUGAGGGUGAAAAUCUUAUCAAGUACAUGACAUAUGGCCUCACUCCAGAAGCUUCAAAUGGUUUAGUUCCUCCAAAGUUUAUUUAUUCUAGUCCCGGUUUCCCAAUUAGGUUUUUUCUAGUUCUUUCGUUUUGGUUUGGAGGCUUAUUUUUUCCUCUUUUAUUUUCUGUUUUAUCUUUUUUUCCCUUGUUCCUUGUUUCCAAAGUUUUUUUGUAUUGAGGAAGAGACAAAAUUUUAACAACUAAAAUUAUUUGAAAUAACGAAAAAAUACUAACUAAAUGUGAUCGGAAAAUAUAAAUUGUAAUCAUAGAUGUUAGUUUUUUUUUUUUUUGAUAAACCAUAGAUGUUAGUUGAACAAGAACUUUUUUUUUUUUCCUUCGUAACUGAAAACAAGAAACAAUUUUCAUAAUUUACUUUUCCUUUAGCUCUUUGUUCCUGCGAUUGAUCUUCGAAUUGAGACAAUUUAGGCAAAAUUAUAUUCAGAUUCUAGUAAUUUCACAAACAUAUUAAUUAAAACUAGUACAGUAAAACCUCUAUAAAUUAAUACUCUAUAAAUUAAUAAACACUAUAAAUUAAUAAAUUUUGCUGGUCCCUAGUCGGGCCAGUGUAAAAAUUACCUAAAUUUGAUAAGAUAAUAAGAUAAUAAUUUUUUUGACAUCCCUAUGUAAAAUAUAGUCCCAAUAAUAUCAUAAAUUAAUAAUCACUAUAUAUAUACAUAUAUAUAUACGUAGAUAUGUUAAAAUAUGUUUUUACCUCUUUUUGUAAAAAUGAUUUUUUCUCCUAGACCUCAUCUCUAUAAAUAAUACUUAUGUUAUAUUUUUAAACUAUAAUCUUAGAAUAUAUUCCAUAAUCUCACAAAAUAACCAAAAUUUUCUUUAUGUUUUCUAUUUAUAUAAACGCAUCAUAUUCAUUUUUUGUUUUGUUUUAUAGAAUGUUAAAAGAUAACGAUUGAGGUUUUAAUCAUAUAUUUGAUUUUUUUUUGUAUUUAACUAUAUAUAUUUAUAUAUUUUUAAUUUAUUGUUAAGUUAUUUUUCUAAAUAUAUAAUUUAAUUCUAAACUACAAACAUUCAUAUAAUUUUAAAACGAAUCUUAGUUUUUAAAAUUGUCCCAAUUCAUAUUUUCAAAAAGCUUUAAGAGUUAAAAAUACUACUAUAAAUUAAUAAUUAUUAAUUUACACUAUAAAUUAAUAUUUAUUAAUUUAUAGAUAAAUUAAUAUCACUAUAAAUUAAUAAAAUCUUGUGGUCCCAACAUUAUUAAUUUAUAGAGGUUUUACUGUAAUUUCAGUUAGUAUUCAUUUUCAAAAUAUAUUAAUGUAAGAAGAUUAUAUACUAAAAAAAAUUAAAUUAAAUUUCCAAAGUUCAAUUUUGUUGCUCUUAAAUUGGUAUGGAAUAAAAGUUUAUAGCUUAGAUGAAAACAAUUAUUUAUGCCAAAUAAAAGUUUCGGUUACAUGCUUAGAGCAAACUACACAAUUCGAAGAUAAUAUAUAUACCGUUCAAAGCCAAAGUCGAUCGUAAUUCUUCACAUUAAAACCAAAAUACAUCCUUAUUACAUCUAAAUUUGCAAAUAUAAAAAAUAAGGAAACGUUCGUUUGUUGUAUCCUUAUAAUUUGGUAACAUUGUUCUUUCCUUUUUUUUUUUGGUAACAUUGUUGUUUCCUUUUGUGUAGCUGACGAGUUUAGUUGUUUCCUUUUUCUCUCAACAAGGUGAUUCACAAGGAUGAUGGUAAAACCGAAUGCAAUAUCAAUUUGUUAUAAUCAAAACGGAUCUGCCAAACAAGAAAACUCAGAGGAUUGCAGAGAUUAGGGUUUAGGAGAAUGACUGAGUUUGCAAUCUUGGCUCCCAAGUUUGGAGAUAAACCGCUGCAACGUAAAAUCUCAGCUUCCGCCGUUCAGGUUGACUACAAUUAUAUCGAUUCAACGGUAGAGAGGAGUACGAGCGACAAGUUCUUGGAUCUCUCCAGCUUUACUCUUUCCUUAGCUUCGAUCUGAAUUGUUUUAAUUUUCGAUUACGUUUGUCUAACAUCAACCAUGCCCUGAGUGCACUUCUACUGUAUGUAGUGGACUCAUAGAGUUAGAUUGAAAUCUAGGUUAGUUCAUCUAGAUAUAUACCAAUUUUUUUUUGGUCGUAAGCUUUGAGACCUCGUUACGUUGUUUUCUAUAUGGAUUAUUGGAUGGUCUUGUUUUGCUUAAGUACUGUUCUUUGUCUCUUUAUGUGUUCUCCUGUGCUUUGUCAACAUUUAGCUUUUUGAUCUUGUAGGGAACCAAUCUCAAAUUGAUUUGUAUAAACAAAUACAACAGUAUGCUUGGUAAGUUGCUUCAGUACUACAUAACAUUGGAGGCGAUGGACACAUCCAACAACUCUCUUUGCAAAGAUUUUUCUCCGGAAGUUGCAUGCAUCCCUGAUGGUGCAGACCGAAAUUUCCAGACUAAAGUAACACUAUCCAACCUUUGUCAAGUUUAUAUACUUUUUAUAGUAGUUUAGAAGUUCUGGCUAUUAGUUCCUAGUGGCCCUCGGACUACUCCCAUUGGACCUCAAAGGAGAUGGAAAGACGAUGCAAUAGAUGAUGUCUACAAAGGUAAAAUACCCAACUGGUUGCCAGGAGAUGAGAAGGCUGCAAUCAGCAAUAAAGGGUUAGUUUUAUGAGGUAUUUAUGCUAGUUUUUGCUUCAUUUGGUUAAUAAUUGUGUUUGACACAUGAUUAUCUGAUUAACGAUCUUUUAUGGGUUCACAGUUGCAAGAAUCAGACUUGGAAGGACUUGAGUGGCUUCACAAUGAAUUUGCUUUUUACUCGAAGUGGUUUGCAUAUGCGGUAGGUUCUUUUACUCAUGUGGCUUCAUGGUGACAUCGAUGGGUUAUAUUUUCUUAUCAUAACUUGAGUUUUUUGUGUUCUUGUAGAAUGACAUGAGACCUUCUUAACCACUGGAGCUGAAGAAGAUAGUUGUACAAUCUCAAAUGGAUAAGCAUCACUGCAUAUGGUUUUGAAGGCCAACAAUGCAAUCUUGUACAUAAGUUUCAACGACAAUAGUGAUCUGUGAUCCGAGUGGUACACUUGUGGUCUUGUGGAGUACCAAGCCAUUGUCAGGAGAACGAUGGAUGGGUUGUUUGGACACGUUUGCCUAGAAGUUGACUGUUUGUCCUACACAAUCAGUUGAAUGCACAUGUUCCACGAUGUUACGAUUAUUCAGUAAAGAAUAACAGUUGUAAAGUAAAGUUUAAAGUACUUGUAAUAAAGGGAAUUUACAAGGUACACAGUAUUCUCUUGAAGUCUUUUCGUCUUCCUCUCUUAAUCUCUUUCGAGCUGUUCACCUACUUGUUAUUACUUGACAUACUUGUUAUUAAUAAUGCUACACCAAUCAAAACAAGUGUGGACAUAUGGCCUAAGUCCAGAAGCUGGCUUGGUUUAGUUCCUUAAUUUUUUUUUUGUUUCUUUCUUCUAGGAUCCCUAUUUCUGAAAUAUAUCGAUUUCUUCUGUUUUUUCCUUCACGAUAUUUUUAAUCCAAUUUAUUUAACAUGUGCUAGCGAAUAGCAUAAUUCAGUUAUCUUGUAAAACUAUUUUCUUAAUUAUGCUUUAAGAUAAAAUUAUUAAUAAUUAAGUAAAUGAGUUGAUAUAUACGAGAGAUCUCCUAACAUGAGAAUCUCCCAACAUGAGUUGGCCAAACUUAAUUAGUCAGGAGUUGUAAGCCUAAUCCCAAUUGAAAAUAUAAAAAAAAAAGAGUGGAGAAGCUCUAUAUAUAUAAUAAACACAAACCUCUCUAGCUACCAUCAUUCAUACAGAAACUUAAAAAUCUCUAGUUGAUAUCCAACUAUGUCUACGGCCAUAAAGUUCGUCUCCCUCUUCUUCUUCUUACUCCUUAUGGUUGAAUCAUCCACCGCAAGAGAUAUCCAACUUGUGUUUACCGAUAAGCUCGGGGAAGACGGAACAUAUUUACUAAGGAGGCCACAUGACUCAGAGAUUGAUUAUUUCCAUAUGUUUGCUUGGGAGAUAGAAGAUUUGCAACGCGAAGCAGACGAGAAGUACCCGCUCUGGAGAUCUACAAAUUAUUUGAACCGGUCUUUGUUUCUUUUAGAGAAAGCUCAGGAUUUUGUUGACCUUUGGGACGAGGAGCGGAAGAGUAAAAUUUCAGGAAACCCUU
rnacentral:lncRNA from 1 species